ensembl:lncRNA
AUUAUGUUUUUUUCAUGACGACCAAUAAAAAACAACAGUGUUACCCCUUAUGUUUUUUUCAUGACGACCAAUAAAAAAGACAGUGUUACCCCUUAUGUUUUUUCCAUGACGAUCAAUAAAAAACGACAGUGUUACCCCCUAUGUUUUUUUUCAUGACGACCAAUAAAAAACGACAGUGUUACCCCUUAUGUUUUUUUUCAUGACGACCAAUAAAAAACAAAAGUGUUACCCCUUAUGUUUUUUUUCAUGACGACCAAUAAAAAACAACAGUGUUACACAUUACGUUUUUUUUCAUGACGACCAAUAAAAAACAACAGUUUGUUACCCCUUAUGUUUUUUUCCAUGACGACCAAUAUAAAAACGACAGUGUUACCCCUUAUGUUUUUUUCAUGACGACCAAUAAAAAACAACAGUGUUACCCCUUAUGUUUUUUUCAUGACGACCAAUUAAAAACGAGUGUUACCCCUUAUGUUUUUUUUCAUGACUACUGAUAAAAAACAACAGCGUUACCCCUUAUGUUUUUUUUCAUGACGACCAAUAAAAAACAACAGUGUUACACCUUACGUUUUUUUUCAUGACGACCAAUAAAAAACAACAGUGUUACCCCCUUAUGUUUUUUUCAUGACGACCAAUAAAAAAAGAAAGUUGUUACCCCUUAUGUUUUUUUCAUGACGACCAAUAAAAAACGAC